AUAAUCCAGUGUAGGUGACACACACUCAAGAAAAGUAUUGGUUUACUCAUUUGAAAUCUAUGUACUGAGUAUAUAUUUCUUAUGCCUUGUUCAGGGAGACAUUAAUGAGCAAAAUAGAUAAGGAUUCCUAGUCUCAAGGAGCUUAUAUAUGGAAUCUAAAAACAUUGAAUUCAUAGACGAAAAGAGUAGAACAGUUGUUACUAGAGGCUGUGUUGGGAAGAUGUUGGUCAAAGAAUAUAAAAUUUCAUUUAGACAGGAGAUAUAAGUUCAGGAAAUCUGCUGUACCAGUCCAACUUAGCCACAAAGGGAUUUUGCCUAAGUCCCCAUAGCUACCACUAAUCUAUUAUUAUUCAGCCUAAACUUAUGUCUAUUCUUUGGCAACACCCAGGUUCCCCUGCCUCAGUGCACAUGACUGUCAUCCCAGCUACGCAGGAGGCUGAGCCAGUAGAAUUGCUGGAACCCAGAGUCAGAGGUUGCAGUGAGCCGAGAUCUUGACAUUGCACUCUACCACAGAUGAUGAGAGUGAAACUCCAUCUCAAAAAAAAAAAAAAAAAGGGGAUGUAUAAGGUUCUCCCCUUUUAUUGUGUAAUGUAAAACCAAUUAUGCUCUACUG
rnacentral:lncRNA from 10 species